ACUCCUACGGGAGGCAGCAGUGGGGAAUAUUGGACAAUGGGCCACGAGCCUGAUCCAGCAAUUCUGUGUGCACGAUGAAGGUCUUCGGAUUGUAAAGUGCUUUCAGUUGGGAAGAAGAAAGUGACGGUACCAACAGAAGAAGCGACGGCUAAAUACGUGCCAGCAGCCGCGGUAAU
rnacentral:rRNA from 1 species